ensembl:snRNA U6 U6 spliceosomal RNA
GUGCUCACUUUGGCAGCACAUAUACUAAAAUUAGAAUGAUACAGAGAAGAUUAGAUGGUCCCUGCGCAAUGAUGACAUGCAAAUUCAUGAAGCAUUCCAUGAAAAA